UGGCGGCGGUGGUUGUCAAGUAAACGAAAGACGCUAACUAGUUUUUGUAAAAUGGCGAAAAUGUAGCUAGAAUUGGUUGUAGCUUGUUGAUUGUUAAGGUGGCUGCGGUAUUCAGUGAAGACUUUUACCAUCUACUUCAUUGCUGCUGUUUUAAGUGAAACAUGGUCAUGGCAGAAACAGAGGAUGAAGAGUCAACUCUGGCACAUUACUAUGAGUAUCAACAUAAUUAUUCCGGAGCUUUGGAGGCAGUCAACCAAGUGACUGUUAGUUUCCCUGGGUUUCUCCCUGCCUUUAUUAAGAAUAUGAAGCUUCUAUUGACCCUGCAGGACUGUAAGAAAACUGUAGGCGCAGCACAGAGACUCUUGCAGAAGGAUUAAAAACAACCUGAAAGCCCUGAGAAUGCUCACUUUUCCCUCCUUAUGCAGAGAGGGAGACAUCACAGAGUCAGUGAACCAGCUCUCAAAUCUCAUCAGCAGCUUGGACACCCAAGAGCCUCACAGCCCAGAGCUUUUCUACAGGAUGCCCUUCGCUUUCACAUGGGUGGUAUUAUCAGGUGCCAGCUGAUCGAGGGACACUUAGAGGAUGCAGAGCAACAGCUGGAGUGUCUCAUAGAGAUCCGGCAGUCUAUCGGGAAAUCAGGGUUAAGGCUGAUAGAGGAAAGAUAUUACUCUGUUUAAUCCAGUUCAAAGGCCAAGCCAAAGUAACCCUAUUACACUUUUGACAUUCUUAUCCACUAUGUGGAAAUAAAGUAAAGCCCAGUAGCCUUUUGCACAACUUUUUGUUGAGUAAUUCUUGGUAUUUUCUGUGUUUGUUAAGCCAUUUACAGUGACAUCAGCCUGAAUGAGUAACCUCUGAGUAACAGCUGGUUCUGUGAGUCUUUAGUUUUAUGGCCUCUGCUGGUCCAGAGGAUACUCUCUGGUUAUGUCCCAAAUGCAUUGCUUUUGUAGUACACUAUGAAGGGAAUAGGGUGCCAUUUGGGAUGCACAUUCUGCUGUACGAUUGUGGUAUAAACAAUACUGUUUAUACCAGUAGAGCUACCCUAGUCCUACUGAGCUGAAUACUGUGGAGACCCUGUGACACACCCUUGGCUUGCUCUCUCCUCUCAUUCAGGAGCUGCUGUACCUGCGCGCUGUGCUGGCUGUGAAGAAACACAGGCCACAGGAUGAUGUCACCAACCCACUGAACGAUGCAGUGGACACACACACUGCAGGGCCUGCCGCUGGUGGUGGAACUAUUUUGAGAAGCUCGACCCUGACUUCCUGCUGGAGAUUGUCACGGAGUACAUAGAACUCUGUCCUGCUAAGGUCAGUCUGGAGGGGGAUGUGUGUGGAUACAUUUGUUCAAUACAUAAUUUCACACUUUAUUCAGACAGUGUGGAAAUUGUAAGGGGAUAUACAGUAGAAGGGGCUCUGCACAUCUAUGGAUCCAUUUAUAGAGAUUACUGUCCAGCCUCCUGCCGCUCAGCUCCAGCAUUAAACAUCUGUUUUGGACACUGUGGUCAAGAUAGUACCUGGACUCCUUCAGGGUGGCUUGCCAUUGGCCAAAGUCAGGUUUCAGUCAGGUGACAUUGACACUGCACAGAGCAGCCUCCAAUAUUGCCUGGACCAGUGUCCCUCCCAUGCUGAGGCCUACCUGCUCAUGGAACAGAUCCACCUCUAACAAGGCAAUUACAAGCUCUCCUCCUAGUCUCUAGAGUUCUGCCUCAGCCACAACUUUGAGACAACUACCCAACACUGGCACGUCUAAUCGACCUGCUGAGGAGAUCUGGGAAGUUAGAGGAAGUUCCCAGGUUUCUGGAGAUGGCUGAAAAACAAUCCUCCAGGGCCAAGUUUGACCCUGGGUUUAACUAUUGCAAACUACUUUAUCUGUGGUACACAGGUGAACCCCGUGAUGGGUUGUGACACUUCAACAAGGCCUGGAAAGACAACGAUUGGGGUCUGUCUUAACCCAGACGACGAUACUAUGGGAGGAGAAGUCUUUGAGAACUG